rnacentral:rRNA from 1 species
GACGAACGCUGGCGGCGUGCCUAAUACAUGCAAGUCGAGCGAACAGAGAAGGAGCUUGCUCCUUUGACGUUAGCGGCGGACGGGUGAGUAACACGUGGGCAACCUACCUUAUAGUUUGGGAUAACUCCGGGAAACCGGGGCUAAUACCGAAUAAUCUGUUUCACCUCAUGGUGAAAUAUUGAAAGACGGUUUCGGCUGUCGCUAUAGGAUGGGCCCGCGGCGCAUUGGCUAGUUGGUGAGGUAACGGCUCACCAAGGCGACGAUGCGUAGCCGACCUGAGAGGGUGAUCGGCCACACUGGGACUGAGAAACGGCCCAGACUCCUACGGGAGGCAGCAGUAGGGAAUCUUCCACAAUGGGCGAAAGCCUGAUGGAGCAACGCCGCGUGAGUGAAGAAGGAUUUCGGUUCGUAAAACUCUGUUGUAAGGGAAGAACAAGUACAGUAGUAACUGGCUGUACCUUGACGGUACCUUAUUAGAAAGCCACGGCUAACUACGUGCCAGCAGCCGCCGUAAUAC